UUUACCUUAAAAGAGAAAGUUGAUCAAAUUGGAAUGAUACAGAAAAGCAGAGCCCUUGCAUAAGGAUGAAAUGCAGAUUCAUGAAGUGUUCCAUAUUUUU
rnacentral:snRNA from 1 species